UCCAGACUCCUACGGGAGGCAGCAGUGAGGAAUAUUGGUCAAUGGCCGCAGGGCUGAACCAGCCAAGUCGCGUGAGGGAUGACGGUCCUAUGGAUUGUAAACCUCUUUUGUCAGGGAGCAAAGGGCGCCACGUGUGGCGCUUUGCGAGUACCUGAAGAAAAAGCAUCGGCUAACUCCGUGCCAGCAGCCGCGGUAAUACGGAGGAUGCGAGCGUUAUCCGGAUUUAUUGGGUUUAAAGGGUGCGCAGGCGGCGAGUUAAGUCAGCGGUAAAAUUUCGGGGCCCAACCCCGACAAGCCGUUGAAACUGGCUUGCUAGAGUGGGCGAGAAGUAUGCGGAAUGCGUGGUGUAGCGGUGAAAUGCAUAGAUAUCACGCAGAACUCCGAUUGCGAAGGCAGCAUACCGGCGCCCAACUGACGCUCAGGCACGAAAGCGUGGGUAUCGAACAGGAUUAGAUACCCUUGUAC
rnacentral:rRNA from 1 species